CGUGACGUAUACGUAGGUGUUACGCGCGCGCGCGCGCAUGCGAUUCACGCGGCAUCGGACGCUCAUCUAUGCACAGGUGUGUGCGUCACGGUCGUACCCGCAGGUACGAGAAAGCACCAGUGUCGCUCAACCGUGUCUGUGUCUGUAUUUGACAGAAUGAAAAAGAGAAAGAGAGAGAGAGAGAGAGGUGACCUACCUAGGGGAACCGUGACCUGUACCACCGCGUAGCAAUCGACGUCGUCUAGAAAAAAAUAAGUUCCUCGAGAAACUUCAUCACUUUACACGUGGACGAUAACGACAGUUAAGUCUUUGCCGUCUGCUCGCCGUCGACGGUCUUCUUGUAGACCUCCUUGUAAACGAGCUCCUGCAUCUGUAUCCUGAGGAGCAUCCUGCGAUCGGCUGGCAAGGUCCUGAUGUGCGGCAGCAGGCUCAUCAGGAAGUAGUAAUUGUCGUCGAAGCGGUUGCCUUCGAGGGGAUCGACCCCGGCGAGGCCGGCGUCACUGUCGCUCAUGAGGACCUGUUCGGGUGAGAUGUUCUGCAGCAUCAUCUCGUUCUCCGCGAGAUUGUCGGCGACGUUCUGAAAUUCCAGGUUGUCGAAGCUCUCCUCGGGUUCCCGCUUCACGUCUACGGUGCCACGUCGACCGUGAUCGCCGUCUAGCUUCAGCUGAUGAUGGUGAUGAUGAUGAUGAUGAUGAUGACCGACGUUCCCGUCCCCGGCCAUCGACAGCAGAUGAUCGGCGAUCGCAUCCCGAUCGUCCAGGCCGCCGUCAAGCCCGGAAGGGAUCCCGUUCUCGGCUUCGCUGUCGCACGGCUGCAGCUCGUCCUCGGUCUUGGCGACGCUGCGCUCCCAGAUCGGCGGCCGCGGCAGCAUCUGCUCCUUCAGAAACUGCAGGCUCUUGAAGUGGAUCCACACCGGCCGGUUCCGAUGAAACUUACUCUUCCGGUAUACCUGGUCCUUCUUCAGCUCGGCACGAAACGUGUCGCGCAGACCCUUCCAUUUCGCCUUCAGCAUCGGCUCUGUAAGCAAAUGAGCGAAGAACUGCUUUGUAUAGAUAUAAAUAGGGUUUAGCAAAAGUCA